rnacentral:rRNA from 1 species
UACGUAGGCAGCGAGCGUUGUUCGGAAUUACUGGGCGUAAAGAGUGUGUAGGCGGUGCUCUAAGUUCGGUGUGAAAUCUCCCGGCUUAACUGGGAGGGUGCGCCGGAAACUGGAGUGCUCGAACGUGGGAGAGGAAAGCGGAAUUCCUGGUGUAGCGGUGAAAUGCGUAGAUACCAGGAGGAACACCUGCGGUGUAGACGGCUUUCUGGACCAUUGUUGACGCUGAGACACGAAAGCGUGGGUAGCAAACAGG